UACGUAGGGUGCAAGCGUUGUCCGGAAUUAUUGGGCGUAAAGAGCUCGUAGGCGGUCUGUCACGUCGGAUGUGAAAACUCGGGGCUCAACCCCGAGCCUGCAUACGAUACGGGCAGACUUGAGUUCGGCAGGGGAGACUGGAAUUCCUGGUGUAGCGGUGAAAUGCGCAGAUAUCAGGAGGAACACCGGUGGCGAAGGCGGGUCUCUGGGCCGAUACUGACGCUGAGGAGCGAAAGCGUGGGAAGCGAACAGG
rnacentral:rRNA from 1 species